rnacentral:ncRNA from 1 species
GUUAUCAAGAAAGGCGGAGGGAAUAGACCCUGUGAAGCCUUAGCAACCCUUUGUCCUGCAAAGAAGGUGCUACGUUCUAUCCAAUUUUGGAAUAGAUAA